GGAGCGGAGCAGCGCAGCCACGCCACAUCAUCCCACUGCCUAUUUUCAGGCUGUGUGCUGUGCCCUCCCGGGUCAAAGCGAAAAUGAGAGAGGAUGGCAAGCCAAAGCGUGGGGAAGAUGACUCACUGGAUUAUUUUCUGCAUUUCAAAUAUAACCCUUGAAUUCUUGCCAAUGUAUCGAUACAGUCAGGCAGUGAGCCUCAUGUAUUUAUAUUUAUUUAUGCUACAUAAUGCCUCAGUCAAUACACUUACCUAUUUUUUUUUCUAUUUUGUUUAUUUGUUUUUUUCACAUAUUUUCUUCAAAACAGGCACUGAAGGAGUAAAACUGCAACCCACCCAAUGCAAUUCCUGUAAACACAAUGUGCCAAGGUUUCCAACAAGCACCAGCUCUGGCAACAACAAUCAUUGCCAUUCCAUGCCUUACUGAAACUGGUCAGAAUGGUUUUGGAGAAUUGGACAGCCCCUGAUCUUUCUGAGGAAGGAAAAAGGAGCUCAGCUGAGCAGUCUGGGUGCUGAGCUUCAUCCUCUUUGGGCUCCUACAAACCAAAUCACUGCCUUCCCCGACCCUCAAGCCCCGUUUCGUGUGUUUGCUACUCCAAGAAUCAAAUCCCAUUUAGAAGGUGGCUGCUUUAACUCCCUAUCUUCAUUUAUGAAAUGCAAUAUAUGUAUUUUAUAUCUAUGAAAAUUCCCUAUUACUGUAUUGGGAAUGUUUCUCUGAUAGACAUGAAUUCAAAAUAAAUGUUGUUAAGAGAACAUCUAAUUCAUUUUAGAUGGUUUUAUUAGGCGUCUCUUAACAAAUCCCAGAGUAUGUAAAUGAAAUAUAACUAUACGUACAUAUUCAUCAGUCUGUUCUUGGAAUUAAAUAUGAGCGCUGUGACAUUUGGUUUUAAGGAAUGACUAAUUAACAUGUGCGCAGGAUGUUCUCAUCUUCCUGCUUUGGAGUCCCAGAGUCAGGGAAAAGCACACAAAGCGUGCUUUUUCCACUCUUUCUAUCAUAGUUUGCAAAGCAGAAAGCUGCUCACGACAGCCAAGAACUUCUCAGGCGUUUCUGUACCUGUUGGGUGCUGACACAGGGCCCCUUCUUGAGUGCUUGGUGUUGUUAAAUGUCAUCCCGUCUGCUCUGGGGCCAGGAGUGCAUUAAAAAAAUCAGCUUUGCAGCCGACCUGGCUUUUAAUAAUCACACCAACAAGUCACAGAGCACAAUAAAGAGCAGGAUAACUUCUGGAGGACGGCCAAUGUGCUGUUAAUUUACGUCCACAAUAAGAUGCUGGAAAACUAGGCUGAGCCCUCAGGUGCUCCCUGUCCCCACUGUCCCAGAGAAACUCUCUAGGAAAAUGUGGGCUGGAUCCUGUAGGGAUAUUUGGGGGUUGGAUGCCUCAAUGCCGUGCUUGGGAACACCAGGCUUUACUGUACUGCUGCUGAAAACCCAGAGAAACACCCACAUUGGUUUUUGGCAGGGCUGGCUCGAGUUGCUUUUGUGCAAGAGCAAUGUGUGUGCAGAGCAUACACUUUUUGCAGCAAAAAAAAUUAGUUUUAAAAAAAAAAGAAACCGACUGUAAUUUCUUUCUGAGGGUGCUGGGGGAGGGCAGACACACCACACCGCCCUGUCUGAGCGCCCUGGAGAAGUUGACCAGAACAAAUCUCAGCAGGAACACACAAACCUCUAUUAUACCUUUUAAAAAGCUCCCCAUUGAAUGCAACCGGGCAGAUGGGAAGGGCCCUUUUAUUUCCUUUUUUCUUUCUCCGCCUGAGUUCAUUCUCUCCCUUUGGGGGAGCCAGGUUCAAAGACAUGCCAAAUGCAUCAAAACCUUCCCAAUAAAGCCCCUUUCACCUCCCGGCAGAGCAGGGAUGGGACUGGAGCGUGCUGGGAGUGCUGGGUCUGACGGUGACUUUCAGGACUGUGUGUGGUAAAUCGUGUGCACAUUUCCCAAAACAAUGCCCUGAAUUGGACGUCUAAUUCCCUGGAAAUUAAAUCCCUCAGCUGGUCAGGGAAAACAGGAGCCAAAGAGAUUAAACAGUGCAGUAGGGAGAAUCUUUGAGGGUUGUUGGGGGUGUUCUUGUGGGUCUGUUGGAGUAUUAUUUUUAAUAGCAGAGGGGUAGCAAAGUAGUGGUUUGGUGUUGCUUCCACUAUUUUAAUUUGAACCAUGAUUUUCCUUCUUCUUUUCCCAAUAAUCCCCAUGAAAAACUACCUCUUUAUGCUCAUUAACCAACAGGUGAGCUCUGUCCCAGCAAGCACAACCCUGUUCCAGGAUGCAGAACUAAUUUCUGAGUCCUUAGGCUACAAAGUUGGCCUCCUUGAACUUGCAUUAAUUUGAUGUGCAUCCAUCUUAAUUGAAGCUGAUCCAUUUCAGUCUUGGCAGCACGUUGAUAAUAAACAGGAACCAAACACCAUUUGGCAAAUUCCAAUCUACCAGGAAAACCAGGGAGAAAGCAGAAAACCUGGGGCCAUCUCCUGGAAUCAGUUCCUGGGCUGCAACUCAAUCUUUCGGUUAGCUGAGUACAUCGUCUCCAAGACCUUUCACCAAGCAUCCAUCAGCAAGGAGUUCAAGCUAAGCAAGACAUUACCCCGUUCCAGAGGCUGAGCAAAUCACAUGCCUACCCUGUAACUAAUUACUUCUAUUGGCUGAUUGGUUUUUAAUGCAUCUGUUUUGCAGGUAAACAGAUUUAUCUUAGGAAGGCAUAGGUAAUAAUGAUGCUAGGUUUUUUUUAUUCAUUGCCUUCCAUCAGAGACUGAAGGCCUGGAUCAUAAGAUGGGUGUCAUUCAGCUGUACAGUCCCUUGAUUUUUGUACCUAGGCAGAGUGGGCAUCUGGGAUUGCUGGGCAUGAUUGGAAAAGCCUAAAAAACUUGUGGAGCCUUCUAACAAGAUUUCAUAAAUGGAUGACAUUAACCAUUAACACGUGGUUUCCAACCCCAGCUCCUCAUCAACCUCCCCUUUAUAAAACAGAAUUUUUUGUAACUGUCAGAGUCCCUGGAGAAGCCAAUUUCUGGUGCAAGGAGCCCACAACAUGGAUCUCACAUGCAGACAGGACAAGAGCAUCAGCCGUUUGUGAUGUUCCACUCACCCUCCUGAUCCCAGGUGCAAAUCUGAUCAUGGAUAUCUUGCAGACAUCUCAGCAACUGCUCUGGAAACUGUGAUGCUGCUUGUACAUUGGUUGUAUUGCAGAAACACUCAGAAACGUCCCAGAGCACACAACCCAUGGAUCAAGGGGACCCAAAAAUCAGUGCUUGACCCAAAGUACUUAAGAUUGAAACACCAGAAGGGUAGAUGGAAGCACUGGAGACGGAAAAGCUCUGUUCAUUGAUAUAAUUUAGAUACAAUCAGGGGAUUGCAAUAAAGGAAUGAAUCCUGAAUAUCCAGUUCAGGCUUACAAAUUAGGGAAAGGGAAGAAAUUCACCAAGUUAAAAUUCUUGGAAGGAGCUGUCAAAUAUGUACAUGGAAAGGUAAAGCCAUGGGCACAGAGCAGUGUCUUGGUGAUGUCCUCAUCCACACCACUCCUGCAUGUGUUUUUAACUUUUUUUCAAAGAAGUGUGAGUCUUAAAACCAAAAAUCUAUUGCUAGAGGUACUCAAGAGUGGCAGGGGCUGCCUUCAAUCUAUCAUGGCCAGCCUUGGAGACCUGAGCCAGGGUGAACCCAACAAGAACUCACCAGUGUCCAUAUGUAACAGACCUGCUCAGGUGAAAGUGUGGCUCCCCCAUUCCUGGACUUUUCUGCU